rnacentral:rRNA from 1 species
GACAGAGGGUGCAAACGUUGUUCGGAAUUACUGGGCGUAAAGCGCGUGUAGGCGGCUCGGUAAGUCUGCUCUGAAAGUCCAAGGCUCAACCUUGGGAUGCGGGUGGAUACUGCCGGGCUCGAGUCCGGAAGAGGCGAGUGGAAUUCCUGGUGUAGCGGUGAAAUGCGCAGAUAUCAGGAGGAACACCAAUGGCGAAGGCAGCUCGCUGGGACGUGACUGACGCUGAGACGCGAAAGCGUGGGGAGCAAACAGG